CAAUGUCAACCAGUCAUUUGCUUUUUGAAAGUGUUGAAGGCUACUUGUCUGGUCGGAGAGUUAAUUUUGCACGCCUAGGCAGUGACAAUUUUUGAACAUCUCCAAAUUAAGGAGGAACCCCCCCCCCCCCCAAAAACAAACAAUAAUAAGCUGGCAAUUUUUCAAAAUGGUUACUCGAGGAUCAUUAAUGAUUCAUGUUCACAAAUCGCAGCUGGACAUCAAGCAGAAGGUGGAGCAAACCGUUUUUACGUCGGCAUGAUGUUUAUUCACCGUUGUGUCAACAGAUAUUGAUAUUUUAGUGGUAAAUGUACUUUUUUUUUUUUUGCAUCUAAAGUGUUACGGACCUUAUUCUUUUUAUUCCAUGCCGCCGGACUAUCAUUUUGACCAAACUGCCCUAAGUAAAUGCCCUCAGUGCAUCUUGAAAAGUAGUCAUGUGACCAACGAUGCACCCUCGAUGAUCAAAUUACAUCCCACGAUGCAUUGCGCCGAUAAAGGUGAAUUUUCGGGAUUUUCAACUUGCAACAAUAUGGUGUUAUAAUUUAUUUGCUAGUUCAAUAUUUAUUACCCACCAACUGUACCAGUCCACUGUAGAAAAAUCCCUAAACAAUUUUGAAUGGAUUAAAAAAAAAAAAACUAUAUACAGUAGUCCACUUUAUAAAAGUCCACAAAUAGUGAUUCGGGAGUAGCAAAGGAGUGAACAAUUCCAAACACACAUUUCUCCAGGAACCUGCCGGGCAACUUGGGGGUUGGAGGAUUCGUGCAUGCUGUUUUUACCCUCCCCCCCCCCUGCCCAAUCUCCCCUCCUCCCCCAUCAAGAGGACAUCAUUUCGAGUUGUUGUGCACCCCCCCUCACACGCCCCCCGUUCUUCCUCAGUGGCGUCUGGAGGCAAAUCCUCUGAUUUCCUGUGUCUCGACGGACUCGCAAAAGGACUUUUUUUCUUUCUUUUUUUUUUUUUUUUUUAAAGAAAGGGAUGCAAUUGCCCACCGUUUUUCUGUGAGUAAUGCUCGUCCUUUGUUUGUCCGACUGUGUGGGGAGGAGCCCGGUGUUGUUUUGUGCUGUCUGAAUGGGUCACACAACAGAAGCCUCCUCGGCCAUACUGUCCUGAAGGAGACCUUGUGCUUUCUUUCUUUUUUUUUUCUUUUCUUUUGAUUUUUAAAUGUUUUAAAAGGUUUUCCCAUGUGUCUUGAUAACGUGUCUGGGAUGUGCUUUUGGCAAAUUAUACAAAGGAUUAAAAAAAAAAAUAGAGCACACUUUUAUACACAAUGUCUCCUUUUGAAGAUGGAUUCAGAUUACACUUGACAGGGCUGUCCUGUCCGAUGUUGUUCUCACCCUGACUCUUCGACUGUGGGGUGUGCCAAUGCGGGAAUGGUUUUUGUUACUACUCCGAGUGGUGUCUGGGGACCCAAAAAAAACAAAAAAAAAAACAACUGAAAAUCAAGUGCAUGCAAGAUCCUGUAACGACCGCAUACUUUUUCACUCGAGGAAGCAGCACUUCAUCGCCACCAUGUUGAAUGACGCUUUCUUAGCCUAAUAGCGUUGCCUAAGUCAUAUCUGAAUGCUUUUGGAAAACACACUCACGCACAAUUUUUCUUUUUUUUUAGCAAUAGACCACACUGGUAUAUUUUUAUUGGGCUUUCUGAAAGCAAUGAGUGCCUUUGGCAAUCAUCCUAUUAGGCUAACGACCUUUCAAUGAGAGUGACCCAUCCCACGCAUGCAAAUAGAUACGCCCCCCUCCCCCCCAGCACCCUCCACCCUCCACCCGGCUGCAUCUUGAAAAUGGAGGAUCUUCACUCAGCCUAUCAUUUGAAUCAUGAGACGGAGAAAUUUGCUGCGGGGGUAGUUUUUUUUUUGAUUGUGUGUUUUUCACACUCGAUUGGGCCAAAGGCUCCCAACAAUUGCAUACAAUUAAAAAGUCACUUUUCCAUAAUAUGUUCCUGGUAAAAUGUAUUCAAUUUGUUUUAUUACCACAUGUUCGUGUUCAUCAUUUUAGUAUUUAAAAAAAAAAUCAACCCAUUGAUGAGUUUACUUAUGUGUGUGCACUUGUAAGCAUGCGUGUGUGUGUGUGUGUGUGUGUGUGUGUGUGUGUGUGUGUGUGCGUUGUUGUGAGCAAGUGGAUAUACUGUAAAUAAUUUUUUCUAAUUAGAAUUUAAAUACCAAGACAGACUUUUAGCCAUACUAGCUUGCCAUGGUUGUAAAUAUUUUCUAAUUUAUGUUGUAAUUUAAUGGGCUGUUUUUUUUGUGUGUGUGUAAAUAAUGGUCCCUUUUUUUUUUUUUGGUGUGUGAUUUUUAUCAUGACCUAUUUUAUAAUAAACGGGUUAGUUUUUCAAUCGAGUAGAGAGGUUAGCAAGCGGGCAGGAUAUACUUUUAGGAUUUUGGAAAUGAUGUACAGAUAAAACCAAAAAAAGAGCAGGAAAAAUAAAUACGAUUCCAGCCUGAUGCUUGA